rnacentral:RNase_P_RNA from 1 species
GGAGUCUUACGGGUGAUCGCCGGGAUGGAAAAACUAUCCGGGAGGAAAGUCCGAACACCACAGGGCAGGAUGCUCCAUAACGUGGAGUCGCGGCGACGCGAAGGCAAGUGCAACAGAGAGCAGACCGCCCUGCACUCAUUUCAGGGUACAGACGCUUUAUCAAAGGAAAAUCGCGGGGUUUUGCCCCUUGACCUGAUUUGUAUUUGAAGCGUUUUUACUUUGAAAUGAGUGCAGGGUAAGGGUGAAAGGGUGCGGUAAGAGCGCACCAGUGUUCCGGGUGACCGGGAUAGCUGGGUAAACCCCAUCCGGUGCAAGACCAAAUAGGGAGACGUCAAGGGCGGCCCGUCCGUGUCUCCGGGUAGGUCGCUUGAGGUUUCUGGCAACAGGAAUCCUAGAUGAAUGAUCACCGCUUCCUUCCGGGUAACCGGAAAGAAGAACAGAAUUCGGCUUAUGUAAGGCUCCGAUC